rnacentral:rRNA from 1 species
GAUUAACGCUAGCGGCAGGCCUAAUACAUGCAAGUCGAACGGCAGCGGGUCCAGCAAUGGAUGCCGGCGAGUGGCGCACGGGUGCGUAACACGUAUGCAAUCUACCCUUAACUGGGGGAUAGCCCCGAGAAAUCGGGAUUAAUACCCCAUAAUAUUAUGAUGAGGCAUCUCAUUAUAAUUAAAGCUCCGGCGGUUUUGGAUGAGCAUGCGCGGCAUUGGUUAGUUGGUGAGGUAACGGCUCACCAAGGCAGCGAUGUCUAGGGGUUCUGAGAGGAUUCACCCCCACACUGGUACUGAGACACGGACCAGACUCCUACGGGAGGCAGCAGUAAGGAAUAUUGGACAAUGGGCGCAAGCCUGAUCCAGCCAUUCCGCGUGCAGGACGAAGGCCUUCGGGUUGUAAACUGCUUUUGUACGGAACGAAAAGGUCCUGGUUAAUACCCGGGGCUCAUGACGGUACCGUAAGAAUAAGCACCGGCUAACUACGUGCCAGCCGCCGCAGUAA